GGGGGCGUCAUGGUUUCGACGGGGUCGCUUGUGGCAAGAGGGCAUGCCGGGGUGGGUACACCCGUAAUCGAACCCAAAAACUAUAAGUGCCGAACCUCAGUUUGCACUUGCUGCUUAAUUAAAUAAGUAGCCGAUUGCUCCCGCUUCGCCUAUGGGCGGGUACCAAUCGUCGUACAGUAGGCUGGUCAAAGCUGUUCCGCCUGGACGGCAAUGACGAGAUCGAUCAGGCUGGUGGCCGUUACAUCUUCGCCCGUUCUAAGUGGCGGCUACGAGACAAAGAUGAUACGGGAAAAGCAUGAAUGCCUUUUGUCAUUGGUUUCUUCGGACGGGAGUUCGAUUCUCCCCGCCUCCACCA
rnacentral:tmRNA from 1 species